GCCCUUGUAGCUCAAUGGAUAGAGCACCUGUCUUCGGAACAGGUAAUGGGGGUUCGAUUCCCUCCAAGGGCA
rfam:Microgenomates (Amesbacteria) bacterium GW2011_GWC1_47_15 TX86_C0013, whole genome shotgun sequence.